GGUCAUGGAGAUGAUUUUAUACUACAUUCUGGUGGAGUGACUGUCUGUCUGUAGGGCACCCUUUGGGCAAAUGCCAGCACUGAUUAAUUGGCUAUACUUGGAGAUGCUAUCCGAGUUCUGCAUCACCUCAAAUCUGAAUCACGGGAUUUCAGAAGAAAUGAGAACAUUGAAGAGAAGAACGAGCUUCGUGAAGAAGAGCUUGUUUUGAAGGCGGAAAAGGCAAAAAAGAAGCAGCAGGUCAAAUCCAUGACAACACAUCCGGCUGCAUGUCAGGCUGACGGAACCAAGAUGCCCGUAUUACCACAAACAUGUGAUACAUCUCAUGAUCAUGAGCUCAGGCCACUUUCUUUGUAGUUUGUAAAUAGAAAUGCUUAGUUGGAUUCUGUGUUUUCAUUACUAUGUAGUCUGCACUUUUGCUAGAUUUAUUUUUACAGAAAAAUAGAGUUCUUUGUUAGAUAUAAAUGACAUCCUUCUUUAAUCUUUUUAUCCUAAUGAUAUUUGAAUCUCUCUUCAUAA